ACUCCUACGGGAGGCAGCAGUGGGGAAUCUUGGACAAUGGGCGCAAGCCUGAUCCAGCCAUGCCGCGUGAGUGAUGAAGGCCCUAGGGUCGUAAAGCUCUUUCGCCUGUGAUGAUAAUGACAGUAGCAGGUAAAGAAACCCCGGCUAACUCCGUGCCAGCAGCCGCGGUAAUACGGAGGGGGUUAGCGUUGUUCGGAAUUACUGGGCGUAAAGCGCGCGUAGGCGGACUAUUAAGUCAGAGGUGAAAUCCCGGGGGCUCAACCCCGGAACUGCCUUUGAUACUGGUAGUCUAGAGUUCGAGAGAGGUGAGUGGAAUUCCGAGUGUAGAGGUGAAAUUCGUAGAUAUUCGGAGGAACACCAGUGGCGAAGGCGGCUCACUGGCUCGAUACUGACGCUGAGGUGCGAAAGUGUGGGGGGCAAACAGGAUUAGAUACCCUGGUA
rnacentral:rRNA from 1 species